rnacentral:rRNA from 1 species
UGGGGAAUAUUGCACAAUGGGCGCAAGCCUGAUGCAGCCAUGCCGCGUGUAUGAAGAAGGCCUUCGGGUUGUAAAGUACUUUCAGCAGGGAGGAAGGGAGUAAAGUUAAUACCUUUGCUCAUUGACGUUACCCGCAGAAGAAGCACCGGCUAACUCCGUGCCAGCAGCCGCGGUAAUACGGAGGGUGCAAGCGUUAAUCGGAAUUACUGGGCGUAAAGCGCACGCAGGCGGUUUGUUAAGUCAGAUGUGAAAUCCCCGGGCUCAACCUGGGAACUGCAUCUGAUACUGGCAAGCUUGAGUCUCGUAGAGGGGGGUAGAAUUCCAGGUGUAGCGGUGAAAUGCGUAGAGAUCUGGAGGAAUACCGGUGGCGAAGGCGGCCCCCUGGACGAAGACUGACGCUCAGGUGCGAAAGCGUGGGGAGCAAACAG